rnacentral:rRNA from 1 species
AGAGUUUGAUCCUGGCUCAGGACGAACGCUGGCGGCGCGCCUAACACAUGCAAGUCGAACGAGCGAGAGAGAGCUUGCUUUCUCGAGCGAGUGGCGAACGGGUGAGUAACGCGUGAGGAACCUGCCUCAAAGAGGGGGACAACAGUUGGAAACGACUGCUAAUACCGCAUAAGCCCACAGCUCGGCAUCGAGCAGAGGGAAAAGGAGCAAUCCGCUUUGAGAUGGCCUCGCGUCCGAUUAGCUAGUUGGUGAGGUAAUGGCCCACCAAGGCAACGAUCGGUAGCCGGACUGAGAGGUUGAACGGCCACAUUGGGACUGAGACACGGCCCAGACUCCUACGGGAGGCAGCAGUGGGGAAUAUUGCACAAUGGGGGAAACCCUGAUGCAGCGACGCCGCGUGGAGGAAGAAGGUCUUCGGAUUGUAAACUCCUGUUGUUGAGGAAGAUAAUGACGGUACUCAACAAGGAAGUGACGGCUAACUACGUGCCAGCAGCCGCGGUAAAACGUAGGUCACAAGCGUUGUCCGGAAUUACUGGGUGUAAAGGGAGCGCAGGCGGGAAGACAAGUUGGAAGUGAAAUCUAUGGGCUCAACCCAUAAACUGCUUUCAAAACUGUUUUUCUUGAGUAGUGCAGAGGUAGGCGGAAUUCCCGGUGUAGCGGUGGAAUGCGUAGAUAUCGGGAGGAACACCAGUGGGCGAAGGCGGCCUACUGGGCACCAACUGACGCUGAGGCUCGAAAGUGUGGGUAGCAAACAGGAUUAGAUACCCUGGUAGUCCACACCGUAAACGAUGAUUACUAGGUGUUGGAGGAUUGACCCCUUCAGUGCCGCAGUUAACACAAUAAGUAAUCCACCUGGGGAGUACGACCGCAAGGUUGAAACCCAAAGGAAUUGACGGGGGCCCGCACAAGCAGUGGAGUAUGUGGUUUAAUUCGACGCAACGCGAAGAACCUUACCAAGUCUUGACAUCCUGCGACGAUGCUGGAAACAGUAUUUUCCUUCGGGACGCAGAGACAGGUGGUGCAUGGUUGUCGUCAGCUCGUGUCGUGAGAUGUUGGGUUAAGUCCCGCAACGAGCGCAACCCUUACUGUCAGUUACUACGCAAGAGGACUCUGGCAGGACUGCCGUUGACAAAACGGAGGAAGGUGGGGAUGACGUCAAAUCAUCAUGCCCUUUAUGACUUGGGCUACACACGUACUACAAUGGCGUUAAACAAAGAGAAGCAAGACCGCGAGGUGGAGCAAAACUCAGAAACAACGUCCCAGUUCGGACUGCAGGCUGCAACUCGCCUGCACGAAGUCGGAAUUGCUAGUAAUCGUGGAUCAGCAUGCCACGGUGAAUACGUUCCCGGGCCUUGCACACACCGCCCGUCA